rnacentral:rRNA from 1 species
GGUGAGUAACGCGUGGGUAAUCUGCCCUCGAAUCCGGGAUAACAUUGCGAAAGCGAUGCUAAUACCGGACGAAGUUGUCGAGCUUUGGCUGGGCGAUGAAAGGUGGCCUCUACAAGAAAGCUACUGUUCGGGGAUGAGCCCGCGUACCAUUAGCUAGUCGGUAGGGUAACGGCCUACCGAGGCGACGAUGGUUAGCUGGUCUGAGAGGAUGAUCAGCCACACUGGAACUGACACACGGUCCAGACUCCUACGGGAGGCAGCAGUGAGGAAUUUUGCGCAAUGGGGGUAACCCUGACGCAGCAACGCCGCGUGAGUGAUGAAGGCCCUCGGGUCGUAAAGCUCUGUCAAUGGGGAAGAACCUGUGACAUGCCAACAGCAUGUUGCACUGACGGUACCCAUAAAGGAAGCACCGGCUAACUCCGUGCCAGCAGCCGCGGUAACACGGAGGGUGCGAGCGUUAUUCGGAAUUAUUGGGCGUAAAGCGCGCGCAGGCGGUUUACUAAGUCAGAUGUGAAAGCCCGGGGCUCAACCCCGGAAGAGCAUUUGAUACUGGUAGGCUUGAGUAUGGGAGAGGGAAGUGGAAUUCCUGGUGUAGAGGUGAAAUUCGUAGAGAUCAGGAGGAACACCGGUGGCGAAGGCGACUUCCUGGACCAAUACUGACGCUGAGGCGCGAAGGCGUGGGGAGCAAACAGGAUUAGAUACCCUGGUAGUCCACGCAGUAAACGGUGAUCACUAGGUGUAGCGGGUAUUGACCCCUGCUGUGCCGGAGUUAACGCAUUAAGUGAUCCGCCUGGGGAGUACGGCCGCAAGGUUAAAACUCAAAGGAAUUGACGGGGGCCCGCACAAGCGGUGGAGCAUGUGGUUUAAUUCGACGCAACGCGAAGAACCUUACCUGGGUUUGACAUCCCGGGAAUCCUUUUGAAAAAAGGGAGUGCCCUUCGGGGAGCCCGGUGACAGGUGCUGCAUGGCUGUCGUCAGCUCGUGUCGUGAGAUGUUGGGUUAAGUCCCGCAAGGAGCGCAACCCCUAUCUUUAGUUACCAUCAUUAAGUUGGGGAGUCUAGAGAUAUUGCCCCGGUCAACGGGGAGGAAGGUGGGGAUGAUGUCAAGUCCUCAUGUCCUUUAUAUCCAG